UCAACCCAUUUAACCUUCUAACCCAUCAAAUUAAAUGAGUUCAUGGGUUGACUCAACUCAUUUGGCUAAAUGAGUUGAGUCAACCCAUCAACUCAUUUGGCUAAAUGAGUUGAGUCAACCCAUCAACUCAUUUAACUCUAAACUCAUUGGGUAAUGAGU